rnacentral:rRNA from 1 species
GCUCCCAACGUGUAUAUCGUCAUUGCUGCGGUUAAAAAGCUCGUAGUUGGAUCUUAGCUCAUGCCGGUAGUUCUCCAUGUGAGAUACUGCUCGGCUGAGCUGUUUCGCCGGUUUUCCGUAGUUUCGGCUGCGGUGACUGGUGUUGUAACUUUGAUUAAAUCAAUGUGAUUAAAACAGGCGUUUGCUUGAAUGCUUUAUCAUGGAAUAAUAGAAUAUGACUUCGGUCCAUUCUGUUGGUCUUGGGAUCGAAGUAAUGAUUAAAAGGAACAACUCGGGGGCAUCCGUAUCGCUGCGUGAGAGGUGAAAUUCUUGGACCGCAGCGAGACGACCUAUUGCGAAAGCAUUUGCCAAGAAUGUUUUCAUUAAUCAAGAACGAAAGUCAGAGGAUCGAAGGCGAUUAGAUACCGCCCUAGUUCUGACCGUAAACUAUGCCAACUAGCGAUCAGGUGGUGGUAGUUUAGCCCUGCCUGGGAGCUUCUCGGAAACGAAAGUCUUCGGGUUCCGGGGGUAGUAUGGUUGCAAAUCUGAAACUUAAAGGAAUUGACGGAAGGGCACCACCAGGAGUGGAGCCUGCGGCUUAAUUUGACUCAACACGGGAAAUCUCACCCGGACCGGACACUAUAAUGAUUGACAGAUUGAUAGUUCUUUCUUGAUUUGGUGGUUGGUGGUGCAUGGCCGUUCUUAGUUCGUGGAUUGAUCUGUCUGGUUUAUUCCGAUAACGAACGAGACUCUAACCUGCUAAAUAGUGGCGCGUUAAUUAAGACGUGUCUACUUCUUAGAGGGAUAAGCGGUGUUCAACCGCAUGAGAUUGAGUAAUAACAGGUCUGUGAUGCCCUUAGAUGUUCGGGGCUGCACGCGCGCUACACUGGAAAGUGCAGCAAGCGUUAUUAACCUUGGCCGAAAGGUCUGGGUAAUCUUUUGAAAGCUUUUCGUGUUUGGAAUAGAGGAUUGAAAUUAUUUCUCUUGAACGAGGAAUUCCCAGUAAGUAUGAGUCAUUAGCUCAUGCUGAUUACGUCCCUGCCCUUUGUACACACCGCCCGUCGCUGCCCGGGACUGAGUUGCCUCGAGAAAUGCGGGGACUUUCGGCGUUGGGUUUCCCUUCGCUGAUGGGAACCGCAUUAAUCGCAGUGGCUUGAACCGGGCAAAAGUCGUAACAAGGUGCGAUUAGGAGAACCUGACCGCG